AGCAUUUCUGUGUGGGUUUGUAAAACAAAAACAACAGCAGGGAUUACACAUGCAAAACAAAAUCCUCUUCUGCAACCCAGGAUUCAUUGUUCAAUAUGAGGUUUGAUACAUACAAAAAGAAGUAUG